AUUGAACGCUGGCGGCAUGCCUUACACAUGCAAGUCGAACGGCAGCACGGGUGCUUGCACCUGGUGGCGAGUGGCGAACGGGUGAGUAAUACAUCGGAACAUGUCCUGUAGUGGGGGAUAGCCCGGCGAAAGCCGGAUUAAUACCGCAUACGAUCUACGUAUGAAAGCGGGGGUCCUUCGGGCCUCGCGCUAUAGGGUUGGCCGAUGGCUGAUUAGCUAGUUGGUGGGGUAAAGGCCUACCAAGGCGACGAUCAGUAGCUGGUCUGAGAGGACGACCAGCCACACUAGAACUGAGACACGGCCCAGACUCCUACGGGGGGCAGCAGUGGGGAAUUUUGGACAAUGGGCGAAAGCCUGAUCCAGCAAUGCCGCGUGUGUGAAGAAGGCGUUCGGGUUGUAAAGCACUUUUGUCCGGAAGGAAAUCCUUGGCUCUAAUACAGUCGGGGGAUGACGGUACCGGAAGAAUAAGCACCGGCUAACUACGUG
rnacentral:rRNA from 1 species